GACGAACGCUGGCGGCGUGCUUAACACAUGCAAGUCGAACGGAAAGGCCCUGCUUUUGUGGGGUGCUCGAGUGGCGAACGGGUGAGUAACACGUGAGUAACCUGCCCUUGACUUUGGGAUAACUUCAGGAAACUGGGGCUAAUACCGGAUAGGAGCUCCUGCUGCAUGGUGGGGGUUGGAAAGUUUCGGCGGUUGGGGAUGGACUCGCGGCUUAUCAGCUUGUUGGUGGGGUAGUGGCUUACCAGGGCUUUGACGGGUAGCCGGCCUGAGAGGGUGACCAGCCACAUUGGGAGUGAGAUACGGCACAGACUCAUUCGGGAGGCAGCGGUGGGGAAUAUUGCACAAUGGGCGGAAUCCUGGUGCAGCAUCGCCACGUGGGGGAUGACGGCCUUCGGGUGUUAAACCGCUUUUGCCUGUGACGAAGCGUGUGUGACGGUAAUGGGUAAAGAAGCACCGGCUAACUACGUG
rnacentral:rRNA from 1 species